rnacentral:snRNA from 1 species
UUGGAGUGGGACUGUCCUAGCGAACUCACCUCUUGCCUUUUACCAGAGAUGACCGUGGGAUGGCCCAACAGACUCCGCUUUCUAAUCUUUGGCACCAAACCUGCGAACCCUGGG